rnacentral:rRNA from 1 species
ACAUGCAAGUCGCACGAGAAAGUGGAGCAAUCCAUGAGUAAAGUGGCGCACGGGUGAGUAACACGUGAAUCAUCUACCUCCGAGUGGGGAAUAACCUAGAGAAAUCUGGACUAAUACCGCAUAACACUUACGAGUCAAAGCAGCAAUGCGCUUGGAGAGGAGUUCGCGGCCGAUUAGUUAGUUGGCGGGGUAAUGGCCCACCAAGACGAUGAUCGGUAUCCGGCCUGAGAGGGCGCACGGACACACUGGAACUGAAACACGGUCCAGACUCCUACGGGAGGCAGCAGUGGGGAAUUUUGCGCAAUGGGGGAAACCCUGACGCAGCAACGCCGCGUGGAGGAUGACAUAUCUUGGUAUGUAAACUCCUUUCGAUAGGGAAGAUUAUGACGGUACCUAUAGAAGAAGCCCCGGCUAACUUCGUGCCAGCAGCCGCGGUAAUACGAGGGGGGCAAGCGUUGUUCGGAUUUAUUGGGCGUAAAGGGUGCGUAGGCGGUUUGAUAAGUCUGGUGUGAAAUCUUUGGGCUCAACCCAAAGUCUGCACUAAAAACUGUCGGGCUUGA